rnacentral:rRNA from 1 species
GGGUUGUGAGGUUAAGCGACUAAGCGUACACGGUGGAUGCCCUGGCAGUCAGAGGCGAUGAAGGGCGUGCUAAUCUGCGAUAAGCGCCGGUAAGGUGAUAUGAACCGUUAUAACCGGCGAUACCCGAAUGGGGAAACCCAGUGUGACUCGUCACACUAUCAUUAACUGAAUCCAUAGGUUAAUGAGGCGAACCGGGGGAACUGAAACAUCUAAGUACCCCGAGGAAAAGAAAUCAACCGAGAUUCCCCCAGUAGCGGCGAGCGAACGGGGAGGAGCCCAGAGCCUGAAUCAGCAUGUGUGUUAGUGGAAGCGUCUGGAAAGGCGCGCGAUACAGGGUGACAGCCCCGUACACAAAAGCGCAUGUGCUGUGAGCUCGAUGAGUAGGGCGGGACACGUGGUAUCCUGUCUGAAUAUGGGGGGACCAUCCUCCAAGGCUAAAUACUCCUGACUGACCGAUAGUGAACCAGUACCGUGAGGGAAAGGCGAAAAGAACCCCGGCGAGGGGAGUGAAAAAGAACCUGAAACCGUGUACGUACAAGCAGUGGGAGCACAGGUUUACCUGUGUGACUGCGUACCUUUUGUAUAAUGGGUCAGCGACUUAUAUUCUGUAGCAAGGUUAACCGAAUAGGGGAGCCGGAGGGAAACCGAGUCUUAAUUGGGCGUUAAGUUGCAGGGUAUAGACCCGAAACCCGGUGAUCUAGCCAUGGGCAGGUUGAAGGUUGGGUAACACUAACUGGAGGACCGAACCGACUAAUGUUGAAAAAUUAGCGGAUGACCUGUGGCUGGGGGUGAAAGGCCAAUCAAACCGGGAGAUAGCUGGUUCUCCCCGAAAGCUAUUUAGGUAGCGCCUCGUGAAUUCAUCUCCGGGGGUAGAGCACUGUUUCGGCUAGGGGGCCAUCCCGGCUUACCAACCCGAUGCAAACUGCGAAUACCGGAGAAUGUUAUCACGGGAGACACACGGCGGGUGCUAACGUCCGUCGUGAAGAGGGAAACAACCCAGACCGCCAGCUAAGGUCCCAAAGUCAUGGUUAAGUGGGAAACGAUGUGGGAAGGCCCAGACAGCCAGGAUGUUGGCUUAGAAGCAGCCAUCAUUUAAAGAAAGCGUAAUAGCUCACUGGUCGAGUCGGCCUGCGCGGAAGAUGUAACGGGGCUAAACCAUGCACCGAAGCUGCGGCAGCGACGCUGAUGCGUUGUUGGGUAGGGGAGCGUUCUGUAAGCCUGCGAAGGUGGCCUGUGAGGGUUGCUGGAGGUAUCAGAAGUGCGAAUGCUGACAUAAGUAACGAUAAAGCGGGUGAAAAGCCCGCUCGCCGGAAGACCAAGGGUUCCUGUCCAACGUUAAUCGGGGCAGGGUGAGUCGACCCCUAAGGCGAGGCCGAAAGGCGUAGUCGAUGGGAAACGGGUUAAUAUUCCCGUACUUGGUGUUACUGCGAAGGGGGGACGGAGAAGGCUAUGUUGGCCGGGCGACGGUUGUCCCGGUUUAAGCGUGUAGGUGUGUGUUCCAGGUAAAUCCGGUUCACUUUAACACUGAGGCGUGAUGACGAGGCACUACGGUGCUGAAGCAACAAAUGCCCUGCUUCCAGGAAAAGCCUCUAAGCAUCAGGUAACAUCAAAUCGUACCCCAAACCGACACAGGUGGUCAGGUAGAGAAUACCAAGGCGCUUGAGAGAACUCGGGUGAAGGAACUAGGCAAAAUGGUGCCGUAACUUCGGGAGAAGGCACGCUGACACGUAGGUGAAGUGAUUUACUCAUGGAGCUGAAGUCAGUCGAAGAUACCAGCUGGCUGCAACUGUUUAUUAAAAACACAGCACUGUGCAAACACGAAAGUGGACGUAUACGGUGUGACGCCUGCCCGGUGCCGGAAGGUUAAUUGAUGGGGUCAGCGCAAGCGAAGCUCCUGAUCGAAGCCCCGGUAAACGGCGGCCGUAACUAUAACGGUCCUAAGGUAGCGAAAUUCCUUGUCGGGUAAGUUCCGACCUGCACGAAUGGCGUAAUGAUGGCCAGGCUGUCUCCACCCGAGACUCAGUGAAAUUGAACUCGCUGUGAAGAUGCAGUGUACCCGCGGCAAGACGGAAAGACCCCGUGAACCUUUACUAUAGCUUGACACUGAACAUUGAGCCUUGAUGUGUAGGAUAGGUGGGAGGCUUUGAAGUGUGG